AUUGAACGCUGGCGGCAGGCCUAACACAUGCAAGUCGAACGAGUGGCGGACGGGUGAGUAAUGUCUGGGAAACUGCCUGAUGGAGGGGGAUAACUACUGGAAACGGUAGCUAAUACCGCAUACCAUCAGAUGUGCCCAGAUGGGAUUAGCUAGGAGGUGGGGUAACGGCUCACAUAGGCGACGAGCCCUAGCUGGUCUGAGAGGAUGACCAGCCACACGGGAACGGAGCCACGGUCCAGACUCCGACGGGAGGCAGCAGUGGGGAAUAUUGCACAAUGGGCGCAAGCCUGAGGCAGCCAUGCGGCGUGUAUGAAGAGGGCCUUCGGGUUGUAAAGUACUUUCAGCGGGGAGGCGUUACCCGCAGAAGAAGCACCGGCUAACUCCGUGCCAGCAGCCGCGGUAAUAC
rnacentral:rRNA from 1 species